rnacentral:tRNA from 1 species
GGGGAAGUAACUCAGUUGGUUAGAGUGCUAGCCUGUCACGCUAGACGUCGCGAGUUCGAAUCUCGUCUUUCCCG